GGGAUGUGGUCGUGCCGUGCCUGUCUCUUUUUUAUCAGGAGAUGGGGAUGGGGAUGCUGUUUCCCAGAAGAGGCCCACUUCUAUCUUCCUGACCAGAAUGGACUCAUAUGCCUGUUUCCAAAAUGGUCCCUGGCAAAGGGGACUAAGAAAACCAAGGUUGCCUUAAACCAGAUGUGGUUUGUCCCCCAGGGACAGGGGAAGGCCCACCUUCCUUAGACAUCUUGCUGGUCAUACCUGAAGAAACUAGUGCUCUCUUAGCAUGGAAGGAAAUUGGAAUGGCUGUUGAGUGGGCAGCCAGCCAGCAUUGCCUGCUGCAAGAGCCUGUUGUUUUAAGAAUCAGUUGUGGUCAGGGGUUAUUGGUUGCAAGGAAAAGAGACCCAUUCAUGGUAACUUAAUUAAUAAUGAGAAUAUUAGUAACAUUUAUUGACCACGUACUGUGUUCCAGGGAUUAGCCUAAGGCUUUAUGCAGAGUAUUUCAUUUAAUCCUCACAAUACUUCAAUAAGGUCGGUUCUAUGGUUAUCUCUAUUUUACAUAUGAGGAGACUAAGACACAGGAGGUUAACUUGUCAAAGUCACACAAAGAGAGGUAGUAACCAGUAUUUGAACCAUGAAAGAGAGAUUCAUUGUAAGGAUAUAAUAGGGAAUUUCCUGCCGGUUCCAGAACAAUCAAUAACAGGAACCCUCUAAGCUUCAGUUUCCCUGUCUAUAAAGUUAGGAUAUAAUAAAUAGUACCUCCUUCGGAGACUAAUUGUCAGGAGCAAAUGAGAUAAAAUAGAAACAAAUGUUCAGUGCAUUUCCCAUCACGUCGUAAAUGCUUAGCAAAUGUUAGCUGUUAAUAAUUAGAAAGGGGGCUGUAUUAGUCUGUUCUCAUGUGCUAAUAAAGACAUACCUGAGACUGGGUAAUUUAUAAAGGAAAGAGGUUUAAUGGAUUCACAGUUCCACAUGGCUGGGGAGGCCUCACAGUCAUGGUGGAAGGUGAAUGAGGAGCAAAGUCACAUCUUAUAUGGCAGCAGGCCAGAGAGGUUGUGUAGGGGAACUCCCCUCUGUAAAACCAUCAGAUCUCGUGAGACUUAAUUCCCUAUCACCAGAACAGCACAGGAAAGACCUGCCCCCGUUACUCAAUUACUUCCCUCCAGAUCCCUCCUAUGACGCAGGGGAAUUAUGGGAGCUAUAAUUCAAGAUGAGAUUUGGGUGGGGACACAGCCAAACCAUAUCAGGGGCUGAUCUCAGUGGAUCCAAGCUUUCCAAAGUGUUUUGGGAGUUAAGAGUGCAAGUAUGCCCCAAACGGUCCCCAAAGAAGUUAAAGGCUUGGAGAGGGACU
rnacentral:lncRNA from 10 species